rnacentral:rRNA from 1 species
CCUANGGGUGGCUGCAGUCGAGAAUCUUCCACAAUGGGCGAAAGCCUGAUGGAGCGACGCCGCGUGAAGGAUGAAGUCCCUCGGGACGUAAACUUCUUUUAUGAGGGAAGAAGCCGGUUGACCGGUGUGACUGUACCUCAGGAAUAAGGGGUUGCUAAACUCGUGUCAGCAGCAGCGGUAAUACGAGUACCCCAAGCGUUAUCCGGAAUUACUGGGCAUAAAGGGUGCGUAGGUGGCAUUGUUAGUCUUUUGUGAAAACCCGAGGCUUAACCUCGGAGACGCGAGAGAUACGGCAAAGCUAGAGAGCGUGAGAGGUCUGUAGAACUCAUGGUGUAGGGGUGAAAUCCGUUGAUAUCAUGGGGAAUGCCAAAUGUGAAGACAGCAGACUGGCGCGUAUCUGACACUGAGGCACGAAAGCGUGGGUUUCGAACGGGAUUAGAUACCCUANUANUC